CAGUGGGUAGAAUGACUACAAUGCAGAGAUUCUUACUGCAGUCAUUUCUUGUUAUGCCAUUGUUGAAUUUCGAGUGUUGUAUGCCGGAAUGUUUCUUCAAAACAUACUUGAAGAUAUCAAUGUGUAUAACUUCAGCGUUGUUGAUACGAACGGGUUGGGGUCACGGUGAAGUGAUGUCUCAAAUAUACUGGAGCACGCUGCAUUCCAAGUGUUGUGACCGACCCAAAAGGACACAGGACUGCUGGAAAACCUGCGAAACUAAUGGACAGAGAUUUCUGUAUUAGCAAGUCAAGUCGCAGCACACGAAGAAAGAAUACGUUCAUAAUUAUGUUUACACUUCACAAGCCACCUUGCGACGUGCAAAGGAGGAUGAUUUUGCUGCCGAUGUAAUCGCUCCAUCUCCACGUACCAUUCGAGAGUGUGUGUGGGGACAACAACUAUUGAGACGUACCUUGGCGACGAGGCUGUCGGCGGGCAGGUCGUCGGCUUUGGCGGCGGCGGCCUGCAGCGCGGCGGCGUAGUCGCGGUCGGCGCGCGCCUUGGCGGCCAGGCAGCGGCGCAUCGCGUCCACCAGGCGCAGCUCCGCCUCCUGGCGCGCCGCCAGCGCCUCGUGCUGCGCCGACACGCGCCCGCCCACGGCCGCCGACGAGAAGCCCAUCCCGCGCUGCCACUACGCGCGCGGCCCCGCCAUCACACCACACUCGGCUAGUCACACACGACACUCGCUUCCCAGUCACAGCACACUACACUGAACACCGAUCCACACUGCGCUACAGCUGUUCAAAAUUUACCACGAUUUAUUCUUUUGUCGACGCCAACUGUGUCCCGUGGCGAACUUCCACCAAUACCGCAGUUAUGUGUUGUUAACUCCCACGCAGAAAUUACUGUAGAAGAGAAAUUUAGUGAGCACUUCACAUACGGUUACAGCAAAUAGCAGAAACGAUUCGAUUUACUGCACCGAUUACCACCUUAGAGCGGAAGAGAACCUCGCUCAACACUUGACACUUGACAACAGUAGCGUACGGUAAGUGUAUCAGUUGUGGUCGACAGAUAUCGCUGCGACACUCCUUAUGUGCUGAGAUACACACGGCACAAAAUCUCGCUCUUCUACACAGCGACUAAAUCAAUUUGUAAACAAUUUUUAAUGCACCUCACUCUUCGAUGUCCCGAAAACUACUCGUCGAAAAUGGCCGUCUCCCGUCGACUUGCUGCAGCCUCGCGGGUGGCCGUGGUAACAGAAGAUUCGCCCGUCAGCAGAGUACACCACGAAAUGCGACAGAGCUUCAGUCAACGACGGGAUCGGCGCACUUGCUGCGCUAACUUCCAGAUGGAACCACAAACACUGGUGUCCACUUGUACAUCUAAUUCGCUCCCCGCCUUUUGGAACACUCCAACUCUUGUAACAUUUACGACUGUUUGGACAUAAUUUUUUGACAGUGAAUUUCAACGAUGUUCACCCCAGAAGGAAUGCGACACAAGAGGCAACACAGCGUACAGCACUCGCAACUUGUGUGCUAUCUGCGCGGUAGGAAGCGAGAGUUGAAGUACGUUUACCCACUCCUGGUCUUAGCACAUUCAGAAUAAAUAUGGGCAACACGAAGGCCCAAAACGGCUUGAAACAUGUGGUAGGAUAGACGAGGUUACUCGAUAAUUUAUUUUAUUUUUUCCUGGUUUCGUUCUACAGAUGAUUUGAAACGCAGCACAUCGUAAAGAUGAGCUCUUGACACUUCCACACGCGAUACUCCUAUUUCAAGUGUUAGUACCAAAAUAUUACAACUACCAUCUAUUUUUGCGUUCACCGUGCGUCUUUGUCGCACCUACGGAAGCUGCUCUCAAUUACUUCUGUUAUCUUUCAACUCUUUAAUUAGUGCUAAGCAACAAGUUGAUUACAGUAAGUGAGGGGAUAUCACCCUUGUCACGCUUUGCUGAAGAACUAUUUACACCGUUGUUGUGUAGCUUUAUUCGUAAGUUUAAAAUGAAUUAAUGAAAGAGAAAUUAGUAUCGUUA